AUUGAACGCUGGCGGAAUGCUUUACACAUGCAAGUCGAACGGCAGCACGGACUUCGGUCUGGUGGCGAGUGGCGAACGGGUGAGUAAUACAUCGGAACGUGCCCAGUCGUGGGGGAUAACGUAGCGAAAGCUACGCUAAUACCGCAUACGAUCUAAGGAUGAAAGCGGGGGAUCGCAAGACCUCGCGCGAUUGGAGCGGCCGGUGGCAGAUUAGGUAGUUGGUGGGGUAAAGGCCUACCAAGCCGACGAUCUGUAGCUGGUCUGAGAGGACGACCAGCCACACUGGGACUGAGACACGGCCCAGACUCCUACGGGAGGCAGCAGUGGGGAAUUUUGGGCAAUGGGCGCAAGCCUGAUCCAGCCAUUCCGCGUGCAGGAUGAAGGCCCUCGGGUUGUAAACUGCUUUUGUACAGAACGAAAAGGCUCUGGUUAAUACCUGGGGCUCAUGACGGUACUGUAAGAAUAAGCACCGGCUAACUACGUGCCAGCCGCCGCCGUAAAAC
rnacentral:rRNA from 1 species